AGCCACCUCCACACACUCGAACUGCGCUGGGGCGGCAGGACUUGGCCCAACUCCACCUAUCACAGGUGAGGAAACUGAAGCCCAGCAGGGAUCCGCCUGAAGUCAGGCACUGCUGUGUGCAGUUCAGGCUGUGAGCGGGUGAACCAGACCUUCAGGCCAGGAGACUCAGGUAGGGCCAGCAAUUUCAUCUUCCCCUCAGCCCCGGGUGCCUUAGCAUCACUGCAGGGGACCCCCAUUGCCAUUGCUGGCCUCAGCUAGAGCUCUUAAGGGUGCACACACCACCUUUCUUGACCCCAGUUACACUCUUCCUGAUCCCCUUCAGUAGAGUGAGGAGCACCGCUAGAGGCUUCCCUGACUCCUCAGGGCCUCAGGAAGGUACUACCACUGGCUGGACCCACUGCCCUCGGUGGGACCUAUUGGAAGGAGCUGGAGUGGACAGCUCUAGCUUUCAGUCUGCCUCAGCACCUAGAACAGGCCCUGGAUACCGAUGUGGGGUCCUACAGGAAGCUUCGAAGUAGCUUGUGGUCCCAGCUCCAAAGGCCCCUGCGGCCAGAACAGCCCUGUGCUCCCCCAGGUAUUCACAAGGCCCUAACUUCAGCCCCCACAGCCUUAGGACCUGCCCUGGGGACAGGCGCUGGUGGGGAGGCAACCACCACCUGUCAUUGUCUUACAACUGUGGGCACCACUUGCCCUUAAACUUCUGGCUUCAAGGUCCUGCUAUGACUCAGGCCCCAGCUGGCCCUGGAGCAAGAGCACUGCCCCCUCCUGUGCACUUGGCCUCAAACCGACCCAGGACAGGCUACACUGGGCUAAUCUGACCCCUGAAGUGGGUCCUCUGCCUGGGUGUGUCCCCAUGAUCACCUAGGGGGCACUCGGUGAUGGCUUCUGAAAAAAUGUUGCUGCUCCAUCCCAUCCAGCCCUGCCUGUGCAACUUGUGCAAAUUGAGGUCCCUUCCCAGAUUGUUUCUCCACCUUAAAACCACACACAGCAUUGUCUUUUCUCUUCCUCCCAUUGUGAAGCUCCCGUUUGGGGGAGGUGUCAGCAGGUGCAAAUGCAAUUUGCAGGUAUAACAUUAUUGUCAUGUGAUGGAAACUGACUUCCCAAAUUCCUUGUGGUUCUGGAACCCACUGUCUUUGAAGUUUCUGGUCAGGGCUUCCGGCCCUGUAGUCAAGUUGGGAAGUUAAAUUUACCAGGACACUGGGAGUGGGGUGGAAUAUUACUGGGUAACCAGGGCUGUUUAUAUAGGAAGGGAUUAAAUACCCAAAGGAAGCGGUGGUGCCUACCAGACAACAAAGACCCAGCUCCUCCCCUAGGC
rnacentral:lncRNA from 10 species